rnacentral:misc_RNA from 1 species
GAUGAAGACGUAGCGAAAUGCGAUACUUGGUGUGAAUUGCAGAAUCCCGUGAACCAUCGAGUCUUUGAACGCAAGUUGCGCCCGAAGCCACUAGGCCGAGGGCACGCCUGCCUGGGCGUCACACGUCGUUGCCCCCCCCCCAUCUACUCCUUCGGGAUUGCGGGGGGCGGAUGAUGGCCUCCCGUGCGCCUAGCCGCGCGGUUGGCAUAAAUACCAAGUCCUCGGCGACGCACGCCACGACAAUCGGUGGUUGGGAAACCUCGGUUGCCCGUCGUGUGCGUUCGUCGCGCAUCGAGGGCUCGAAAAAAUGCUCGGCUCCGGCUCGGCUUUCAACGCGACCCCAGGUCAGGCGGGGUUACCCGCUGAAUUUAAGCAUAUCAAUAAGCGGAGGA